GAUGAAGAACGUAGCGAAAUGCGAUAAGUAGUGUGAAUUGCAGAAUUCAGUGAAUCAUCGAAUCUUUGAACGCACAUUGCGCCCUUUGGUAUUCCUUAGGGCAUGCCUGUUCGAGCGUCAUUUAAACCUUCAAGCUCAGCUUGGUGUUGGGUGACUGUCCGCCGCCUCCGGGCGGUCGGACUCGCCUCAAAUUGAUUGGCGGCCGGUACUUUGGCUUCGAGCGCAGCAGAAACGCGAACUCGAGGCCGUCGUCCUGGCUCCCAGAAGCUAUCUUCACAAUUUUGAUCUCGGAUCAGGUAGGGAUACCCGCUGAACUUAAGCAUAUCAAUAAGCGGAGGA
rnacentral:misc_RNA from 1 species